GAUGAAGAACGCAGCGAAAUGCGAUACGUAAUGUGAAUUGCAAAUUCAGUGAAUCCUCGAGUCUUUGAACGCACAUUGCGCCCCCUGGUAUUCCGGGGGGCAUGCCUGUCCGAGCGUCAUUGCUGCCCUCAAGCACGGCUUGUGUGUUGGGCCCCGUCCUCCGAUCCCGGGGGACGGGCCCGAAAGGCAGCGGCGGCACCGCGUCCGGUCCUCGAGCGUAUGGGGCUUUGUCACCCGCUCUGUAGGCCCGGCCGGCGCUUGCCGAUCAACCCAAAUUUUUUAUCCAGGUUGACCUCGGAUCAGGUAGGGAUACCCGCUGAACUUAAGCAUAUCAAUAAGCGGAGGA
rnacentral:misc_RNA from 1 species